UACGUAGGGUGCAAGCGUUAAUCGGAAUUACUGGGCGUAAAGCGUGCGCAGGCGGUGAUGUAAGACAGAUGUGAAAUCCCCGGGCUCAACCUAGGAACUGCAUUUGUGACUGCAUCGCUGGAGUGCGGCAGAGGGGGAUGGAAUUCCACGUGUAGCAGUGAAAUGCGUAGAGAUGUGGAGGAACACCGAUGGCGAAGGCAGCCCCCUGGGCCAAUACUGACGCUCAUGCACGAAAGCGUGGGGAGCAAACAGG
rnacentral:rRNA from 1 species